CGUGCAGAGAGUGUGUCUACCGGACAGAGAUGUGCAGCCUUCGUGGUGCUCAAGCCGUCCUGAUGGUUCAGUCGUUGUGGACCUUUAACUCAGUGCCUUGAAAUGGCUCAGUCGUUGUGGACCUGUAACUCAGUGUCUUGAAAUAUGCAGAGCCCUCUCCGAUCACCUCUCCGUCGUUGCCUGACGUGCGCCUCCCAUCCGUCGAAAUGAAGGAGGGCCCACAGAGACCGAAGGGCUGUGAUUGGUCCAACCCACAGAGACCGAAGGGCUGUGAUUGGUCCAACCCACGGAGACCGAAGGGCUGUGAUUGGUCCAACCCAUGCUGUUUACCUUAUGGUUCAGUCGUUGUGGACCUUUACCAGUGUCUUGAAAAAACCAUAUUGUUGCAUGGAGCAAAGCUGAUUGGCCAGUUGGAACAGGAAGUUGGGAAACACUAGUUUAAAUCUGUCUCUCUGUUUGUAAUGUGUAAUACAUUCUGUAAUUAAAUGUAAUAAAUCUCUAAAUGAUCAAAA